rnacentral:rRNA from 1 species
AUUGAACGCUGGCGGCAGGCUUAACACAUGCAAGUCGAGCGGGGUGAGGUGCUUCGGUACUGAUCCUGGCGGCGGACGGGUGAGUAAUGCUUAGGAAUCUGCCAUUUAGUGGGGGACAACAUUCCGAAAGGGAUGCUAAUACCGCAUACGUCCUACGGGAGAAAGCAGGGGAUCUUCGGACCUUGCGCUAAAUGAUGAGCCUAAGUCGGAUUAGCUAGUUGGUGGGGUAAAGGCCUACCAAGGCGACGAUCUGUAGCGGGUCUGAGAGGAUGAUCCGCCACACUGGGACUGAGACACGGCCCAGACUCCUACGGGAGGCAGCAGUGGGGAAUAUUGGACAAUGGGCGGAAGCCUGAUCCAGCCAUGCCGCGUGUGUGAAGAAGGCCUUUUGGUUGUAAAGCACUUUAAGCGAGGAGGAGGCUACCUAGAUUAAUACUCUGGGAUAGUGGACGUUACUCGCAGAAUAAGCACCGGCUAACUCUGUGCCAGCCGCCGCGGUAAUAC